GUUAUUUUAGUAAAUAAAAUAUGGUGAAACUGCUGAGAAUGAUGAUAGCACAAGCUACGGACACAACCUUUAAUUUAACCUUUCUUUUUCUCUCUCAUCUCUUCUCCUUCUUCUUCUUUCCCUUCUUUCCCUUCCAGCCGCACCUCUCUCCCUCUCUGCCUCACUCAUCUCCAUCUCCCUCUCUGCCUCACUCACUCGAUCUCCUUGAAUGGUGAAGUCUGGUGAGCAUAUAUGAGAACCUUGAAGUUUGGUUUGAUCGGUCUGGGUUUCUGGGUUUCUGUUGGGUCUUGAUCGGUUUCUGUUGGGUCGGUCUGGGUUUUUGCUGCAUCGCCUCAUCUUCUCCGAGUUCUCUGUUUGGGUCCCAAGAAACGGAGGAAAACGAAGAUGCGAAAAUUUUUCCUGUUAUUUUUUUUCCGAGUUUUCAUCUCGCUGGAAGAGGGCUGGUUCAGCUUUGCCUAAGGCGCUGCCCACUGCACGACGACGGUGGCUCAACCACCGUUCUUCAGUGUCUCUCUCUCGGCUUGAACAGAGCGCUCACCAUUCUCUCUCAAUCUCGAGAGGUUGUGUUCAGAGAGUUUUUGCAGCUAGAAGGUUACGGCGAUAAUGGAGUUGUGAACGUAGCGAUGGAUUAUGUGAGGAGAAUUUAACUUUCCGACGUCAAAUCUUUUUGAAAAAGAAUACCUAAUAGUUGCUGCACAUUGGCAGCGCUGACAAGUCAUGCGAAAUUCGUAGAAAUUUGUAGAGUUGAUCUUAAUCCAUCUUUCCGACGAUCAGGAUCAACACUACGAAUUUAUACGAAUUUUGUAUGGUUUGUGAACGCUGCCAAUGUGCAGCGACUGUUGCGUCUUCUUUUUCAAAAAGAGUUGCACCAAAAGUCGACUUGCUCUUUAUCAAUUUUUGACUUGUGUAUUUUAAUUUUUCAUGAUGGUGGAUUUGUGGGAAUUCAGUAUAAAGAUGUGAUAUCGGGUUAUUUAGUGAAAUGGGAAUAAUCAUAAUAUAAUAAUAAUUAAGUGUAUUAAACACUUAUUUCCAAUUUA